UAACAAUAGCACAUUUGCAUAGCAGG
rnacentral:piRNA from 1 species